CGGUUAAAUUCUGACAAUAAACAUUCUUGCUUUAACAUAUGCUGUUGUUUUUGUAUUUUACUCUAAUUUUGUUUUAAGUAAUAUCAUAAUGUGAUGUACCGUUUUUUCAUUUUUUGCACAGUAAAUAUAACAAUGAGUUGCAUACUCCCUGAACUACUUUAGUGAAAUAUAGAAAUGUGAGCAAUGUCAUUAGAAUUGUGGAAACAACAAAGUUGGAAGACUCUAUUGAGAUAGCUUUCGCAAGUUGUCCAAUUCCUUUACCAUCCAAUUAUCAAAUUCAAUAUUUGGAAGAAGAAUUUGACGAACUAAUAAACCUAGAUGAUAACCCUGCUGGAUUGGUUAAUUUGAACAAGUUGCAUAUUGUAGAGCAUCAAAAUUUACUGUUAUCAACACUUUAAAUGAUUCCUUGAAUAAUAAUAGUGAUGAUCACGUAAACUUUAGCUACAGAAAUGGUAGGGAAGAACAACCUUCAGAGAAUGCUAUGGACUCGUCUGUUGAAAAUGGCUAUUCUUCUGAAUCUUUAACAAGAAAUGUUUGGCCACAACCAUUCAUAUUAAAAGAUGAAUUGGUAUCACCUUCCUUACUCUAGAAGUUAAAUAAUAGUGUUGAUUUGACAACUGGGGAUUUCACAACUUUGUUCUCAUGCCUUUUUGAUCAAUGUUUCAGAAUAGCAUAUUUACCGGCAGUAUGAUGAAAUGGUGCACUUUACGUUAUCACGAUGGAAAUAUCUAAUGCGUUAUUAUCCGACAGAACGGGAUGCAAAGUGGGACUUGAAGAAAAGAAUAAGAAAGAAAAGAAAGAAAGUGCGUCAAUAUUGCAGCUAUAGAAGAAUCAAAGAUAAAGUAUAGCAACAAAAAAAGCACUAGUUAUCGCACCAAAUAUUUGGGGGGUUCAGAAUUUUUUACCCGCUGUUGAAGAAGGAGAAGAUGAAAGGGCAAUAUUUUUACAUAUUGAAAAAAUGAAGGAACAGUUUAUCCUUCAUCCCUAAAAACGAAAGCCUUGCUAAGCCUUGGAAACAGAGUGUUGUUAUAUUUUUAAGUUUAAAAGCAAAAAAGAUUUUUUAUUUUUAUACUGAUGUACUUAAUUUAAUGGUUUCUGAAUUUGAAAGAACGACUGAAAUAGUGAUCGAAGAAAAAUGGAACGAAUUUUUUAGAAAAUAUUCUCCUGCGUUAUUGAAAAUGAAUGCUCCAAAAUCAUUACAAGUUGAAGUUUUAGAAACUGAUAUAAAAUAACUAGCAGAUGGCACAAAUAAUUGAAGUUGUUUUUAUAACUUAAUGUUACUUAUUUUUGUGGGUCAAAAAAUAUUACAUUUUACAGGUAUUACAUAAUUUGGAAAUAUUCAUGAAUUUGGAAAUUUCAGUAAUCUCGCUUUAAUGAUCAUUGUUACAUACUUAUAGGUAUUGUCAUCUCUUAUGCCAUGAUCUUGAUACCAUCGUUACUAUAAUCAUUUUCGAAAAUUCGCGAAACAAUCCCCAAAUUCAAUGCAAUGCGACCGUCAAUGCAUUAGUUGAUGUUGUAAAAGCUUCAAGUUUCAAAAUAUUCGUUGAUGGUUUGUUUGAAAGUCAGUCAGUCUAAUGACUUCAUGAUUGCUGUACUCAUGUACUUUAGUACGUUUUAUAUAUUCGACCUUAUGUACCCGAAAGGACAUAAUGGCACAAUGAUGUUUUUACAGAAAGAGUUUAUGGGAAUACACGAUACAGUUGCACCUAUUUCUGAAGUUCUAAACAUAAUAAAAAACAGUUUAAUGAGAGUGAAAUGUUUUGUACAUGAUGUUAGAGCUAAAAAAAACUAUUAGAUUAUUGUAUAUAUUUUACCCAGGAACACCUCUAAAAAGUUGAAAAAAAUUGAAAUGUUUCAUGCAGUUAUAAAAAGAAUUAUUAGUUUUUUGUAUAUAUUUUACCCUUAGAGUACUUUUUAA